GCCUGGGUGGCUCAGUCAGUUAAGCAUCUGACUUCAGCUCAGGUCCUGAUCCUGUGGUCUGCAGUCCAUGGGUUCGAGCCCCACAUCAGGCU
rfam:Felis catus isolate Cinnamon breed Abyssinian chromosome B2, whole genome shotgun sequence.